CAGGUAAGUCUACCCCGUUACUUUUUAUGUCCUUUUAAUUAAGAUAUUUGGGUCAAUAUAUAUCAAAAUAAAUAAGAUCCAUCUUUGGUAAUUUUUAAAAAAAUUAAAUCUAUAAAUACUCAUUUCAUCUCUAAAAUUAUGUGAUUUGUACUUUCUAAAAUUCCCUCGAUGGUACUAAUACACUCUUAUAUUUGUAUUGUAAUUAUCAUGUCCUUUUUCUAUGGUUUUUUAAAGUUAAUUUAGAUCCUUAUUCGCUCUAGGUAUAAGUUGAAUGGAAGAGUUUUUUAGCUUUGAUAGAUCUUGAGUACCUGAAUCGCCGAUGAAACAGAGGUUAUUUUCUCGGAAAUUCCACGAAUUGUUCAGGCUUAGAGGUGCAAGGACUUGUGAAAGAGAAGCAUUUGAUUGACCAACGAGUAAUUAGUUUCUCCUCAAGCAUCCCACCACUUUUCUAUUAAAGAAAUACAGGUACGUCUACGCUAUUACUUUUCAUGUCCUUUUACUUAAGAUAUUUAUAUAAAUAUAUAUAAAAAUAAAUAAGAUCCAUCUUUUGUAAUUUUUUUAAAAAUCAAAUCUGUGAAUAUUCAUUUCAUCUCUAAAGUUUUGCGUUUUGUUACUUUUUAAAAUUCCCUCCAUGUUACUAUUACACUCCUAUAUUUGUGUUGUAAUUAUGAUGUCCUUUUUCUAUGGUCUGUUAAAGUUAAUUUAAAUCCUUUUUUGCUCUUGGUUUAUGUUGAAGAAAUGGAAGAGUUUUUUAGCCUUAA